rnacentral:lncRNA from 1 species
GCGUGCCGUUGACCAAGAGAGAGAACUGUGGUCCCCGUACACACCCCAUGACCCAUCCAAUCCACUGUCUGUGAAAACCGUAUGCCUCCAGCGCCUGCUCAAGAAAACUCCACCUGACCCUAUCAUAGGCCCUCUCCAUGUCCAGCUUGAUGGCCAUCAAGCUGCGCCGCUUCGAUGCUCUCUGAAGGUCCCACAUCAUCUCCUGAGCCAACA